UGGGGAAUAUUGCGCAAUGGGCGAAAGCCUGACGCAGCGACGCCGCGUGUGGGAUGAAGGUCUUCGGAUUGUAAACCACUGUCGGGAGGGACGAAGCUCUGACGGUACCUCCAAAGGAAGCACCGGCUAACUCUGUGCCAGCAGCCGCGGUAAUACAGAGGGUGCGAGCGUUGUCCGGAAUCACUGGGCGUAAAGGGCGCGUAGGCGGCUUGGUAAGUAGGGGGUGAAAUCUCACGGCUCAACUGUGAGGCUGCCUUCUAGACUGCCGAGCUCGAGCACAGUAGAGGCUGGUGGAAUUCCCGGUGUAGCGGUGGAAUGCGUAGAGAUCGGGAAGAACAUCUGUGGCGAAGGCGGCCAGCUGGGCUGUUGCUGACGCUGAUGCGCGACAGCGUGGGGAGCAAACAG
rnacentral:rRNA from 1 species